UUAAGCGACUAAGCGUACACGGUGGAUGCCCUGGCAGUCAGAGGCGAUGAAGGACGUGCUAAUCUGCGAUAAGCGUCGGUAAGGUGAUAUGAACCGUUAUAACCGGCGAUUUCCGAAUGGGGAAACCCAGUGUGUUUCGACACACUAUCAUUAACUGAAUCCAUAGGUUAAUGAGGCGAACCGGGGGAACUGAAACAUCUAAGUACCCCGAGGAAAAGAAAUCAACCGAGAUUCCCCCAGUAGCGGCGAGCGAACGGGGAGCAGCCCAGAGCCUGAAUCAGUGUGUGUGUUAGUGGAAGCGUCUGGAAAGGCGUGCGAUACAGGGUGACAGCCCCGUACACAAAAAUGCACAUGCUGUGAGCUCGAUGAGUAGGGCGGGACACGUGGUAUCCUGUCUGAAUAUGGGGGGACCAUCCUCCAAGGCUAAAUACUCCUGACUGACCGAUAGUGAACCAGUACCGUGAGGGAAAGGCGAAAAGAACCCCGGCGAGGGGAGUGAAAAAGAACCUGAAACCGUGUACGUACAAGCAGUGGGAGCACGCUUAGGCGUGUGACUGCGUACCUUUUGUAUAAUGGGUCAGCGACUUAUAUUCUGUAGCAAGGUUAACCGAAUAGGGGAGCCGAAGGGAAACCGAGUCUUAACUGGGCGUUAAGUUGCAGGGUAUAGACCCGAAACCCGGUGAUCUAGCCAUGGGCAGGUUGAAGGUUGGGUAACACUAACUGGAGGACCGAACCGACUAAUGUUGAAAAAUUAGCGGAUGACUUGUGGCUGGGGGUGAAAGGCCAAUCAAACCGGGAGAUAGCUGGUUCUCCCCGAAAGCUAUUUAGGUAGCGCCUCGUGAAUUCAUCUCCGGGGGUAGAGCACUGUUUCGGCAAGGGGGUCAUCCCGACUUACCAACCCGAUGCAAACUGCGAAUACCGGAGAAUGUUAUCACGGGAGACACACGGCGGGUGCUAACGUCCGUCGUGAAGAGGGAAACAACCCAGACCGCCAGCUAAGGUCCCAAAGUCAUGGUUAAGUGGGAAACGAUGUGGGAAGGCCCAGACAGCCAGGAUGUUGGCUUAGAAGCAGCCAUCAUUUAAAGAAAGCGUAAUAGCUCACUGGUCGAGUCGGCCUGCGCGGAAGAUGUAACGGGGCUAAACCAUGCACCGAAGCUGCGGCAGCGACACUAUGUGUUGUUGGGUAGGGGAGCGUUCUGUAAGCCUGUGAAGGUGUACUGUGAGGUAUGCUGGAGGUAUCAGAAGUGCGAAUGCUGACAUAAGUAACGAUAAAGCGGGUGAAAAGCCCGCUCGCCGGAAGACCAAGGGUUCCUGUCCAACGUUAAUCGGGGCAGGGUGAGUCGACCCCUAAGGCGAGGCCGAAAGGCGUAGUCGAUGGGAAACAGGUUAAUAUUCCUGUACUUGGUGUUACUGCGAAGGGGGGACGGAGAAGGCUAUGUUGGCCGGGCGACGGUUGUCCCGGUUUAAGCGUGUAGGCUGGUUUUCCAGGCAAAUCCGGAAAAUCAAGGCUGAGGCGUGAUGACGAGGCACUACGGUGCUGAAGCAACAAAUGCCCUGCUUCCAGGAAAAGCCUCUAAGCAUCAGGUAACAUCAAAUCGUACCCCAAACCGACACAGGUGGUCAGGUAGAGAAUACCAAGGCGCUUGAGAGAACUCGGGUGAAGGAACUAGGCAAAAUGGUGCCGUAACUUCGGGAGAAGGCACGCUGAUAUGUAGGUGAAGUCCCUCGCGGAUGGAGCUGAAAUCAGUCGAAGAUACCAGCUGGCUGCAACUGUUUAUUAAAAACACAGCACUGUGCAAACACGAAAGUGGACGUAUACGGUGUGACGCCUGCCCGGUGCCGGAAGGUUAAUUGAUGGGGUUAGCGCAAGCGAAGCUCUUGAUCGAAGCCCCGGUAAACGGCGGCCGUAACUAUAACGGUCCUAAGGUAGCGAAAUUCCUUGUCGGGUAAGUUCCGACCUGCACGAAUGGCGUAAUGAUGGCCAGGCUGUCUCCACCCGAGACUCAGUGAAAUUGAACUCGCUGUGAAGAUGCAGUGUACCCGCGGCAAGACGGAAAGACCCCGUGAACCUUUACUAUAGCUUGACACUGAACAUUGAGCCUUGAUGUGUAGGAUAGGUGGGAGGCUUUGAAGUGUGGACGCCAGUCUGCAUGGAGCCGGCCUUGAAAUACCACCCUUUAAUGUUUGAUGUUCUAACGUUGACCCGUGAUCCGGGUUGCGGACAGUGUCUGGUGGGUAGUUUGACUGGGGCGGUCUCCUCCUAAAGAGUAACGGAGGAGCACGAAGGUUGGCUAAUCCUGGUCGGACAUCAGGAGGUUAGUGCAAUGGCAUAAGCCAGCUUGACUGCGAGCGUGACGGCGCGAGCAGGUGCGAAAGCAGGUCAUAGUGAUCCGGUGGUUCUGAAUGGAAGGGCCAUCGCUCAACGGAUAAAAGGUACUCCGGGGAUAACAGGCUGAUACCGCCCAAGAGUUCAUAUCGACGGCGGUGUUUGGCACCUCGAUGUCGGCUCAUCACAUCCUGGGGCUGAAGUAGGUCCCAAGGGUAUGGCUGUUCGCCAUUUAAAGUGGUACGCGAGCUGGGUUUAGAACGUCGUGAGACAGUUCGGUCCCUAUCUGCCGUGGGCGCUGGAGAACUGAGGGGGGCUGCUCCUAGUACGAGAGGACCGGAGUGGACGCAUCACUGGUGUUCGGGUUGUCAUGCCAAUGGCACUGCCCGGUAGCUAAAUGCGGAAGAGAUAAGUGCUGAAAGCAUCUAAGCACGAAACUUGCCCCGAGAUGAGUUCUCCCUGACUCCUUGAGAGUCCUGAAGGAACGUUGAAGACGACGACGUUGAUAGGCCGGGUGUGUAAGCGCAGCGAUGCGUUGAGCUAACCGGUACUAAUGAACCGUGAGGCUUAACCUU
rnacentral:rRNA from 2 species